CAUGCGGACCGGGCCCCUCUGGCAAGCGUGUGCAAGCGCUUGUGAUGUCGGACCGCAUCG
rfam:Erythrobacter sp. AP23 contig5, whole genome shotgun sequence.